CAAAAGAAUUGAAUGCUGAGAAACUUGGAAUCCGCAUGGGUGAUGUUAUUGAACGCUUCAAUGGAGAGUGUAUUUCUAAUACAACUGAGUUGGAAAAGAUGUUGCUGGAUAUAGGCGGAGACCAUUUUGAUCAAGCAAAAGUCUUAAAGGCCGAAACAGAUGUUCGAAUUCAAAUAUUUCGUGCCACAAAACGUUGCCGAAGAGU